GUCAGAGAGAACAAAGAAAAAAGGUUUGAGUUAUGAAGAUCUGACUUUACAACGGCUAACAGAAGAAAAGUGAGGACAAAAGUGGCAGCAGGUGUGUUCCUCCUGGAUGGCUGCCAUGAUAAAGUGAAUGUGAAGCUGACAGCUGAGCAGUCUGAUGUCAGGACCUGAGCUGUGAAGGUCUGACUUUACUACGACUGGAUGUGCUUUAUGAAUUCCAGAUCACUGCUCUUUGAUCGAUCACUGAAAACAGAAUCUGUGACAAAGAAGAGAGAAAAGAAGUGAAAGCAGUAGACCUCCCACCUGCCCUAUAAAGAUCUGUGAUAUAAGGAGUUGGUGUGGCUCACCAGGACAGGAGUGUCAGUACCACCAUGAGACUCGCCGCAUUGCUGGUUCUGCUGUGCCUGUGCUCUACUGCGAUGGCUUUGCCAUCUGGUAUUCCAGACAAACCAGGGGUGGGAUCACCUGCAUCAGCAAAAGGCACAAUAUACGUUCUAAGUAAAUCAUUACUGAUAGGCGGAAUUCGAAAGCUUAAAGUAAAAGAUCCAAGAAGAGUUGGUGGAUGACCUGCAAGACUAACAUAAUUUGCCCAAAGGGACCAAUCCAGGAAAGAAAAUAAACAAAAAAUGCCAUUGCUUAAAAUAAAAUAAAUUGAAAUGCAUUGAACCGGUUGGCUGUUUGUUCACAUGUUUAAGUUUUGUCUUUCAAGUAUAUGUUUUAUUUGAUAUAUUUUCUUAUGUUCAUUACUCAGAAACUAUAACAUUGCACAGACUGAUCUCAAGAAUGACUUCUAGGCUGACCUAUCAAAGAAGGGGAUUGGUGUAGUUGGUAGGAUUCACAUGUCGUCAAUGCUUCAUCUCAAAUUCUUAUUUAUGUUCCUUUGAAGCACAUUUAUUGAUAUGUGAGUGCUGAAGGAUGCAUUUCUUCACACUAUAUUCCUUUUCUGAUUUCUGAGCAUUUUUGAUUUGUUUUUCUAGCAGAUAUAUUUUUAUUAUUGUUGAAAUGACAUUGUUUAUUAAUUUGUAUACCUGUUACUGGUUAUUUACUAGGUGGUAUUAUGUCAUCUCACCCCACUUAUAUAAGACUAGCAGAAUACCCGCGCUUCGCAGCGGAGAAGUAGUGUGUUAAAGA